rnacentral:lncRNA from 1 species
AGAGACAUUCUUUGGAGGAUUUUAGAGAAGAAAGGAGUACGAGUAGCAUAUAUCCAAGCUAUACAGGAUAUGUAUGAAGGAGCAAAGACUGCCGUAAGAACUCAUGAAGGACAAACCGAAAGCUUUCCCAUAACUGUAGGAUUACAUCAAGGCUCAUCCUUAAGUCCUUACCUUUUUGCGUUGGUAAUGGAUGAGUUAACAGGACAUAUUCAAGGUGAUAUUCCUUGGUGUAUGCUUUUUGUAGACGAUAUAGUGUUGAUAGAUGAAACUCAGGAAGGGGUAAAUGCAAAGCUUAACCUUUGGAGAGAAGUGUUGGAAUCUAAAGGUCUUCGCCUAAGCCGAUCAAAGACAGAAUAUAUGGAGUGCAAGUUCAGUGCAAAUGGAGGCCAAAACGAGUUAGGGGUGAGGAUCGGAGAUCAAGAAAUACCAAAGAGCGACCGUUUUCGUUACCUAGGAUCUAUCUUGCAAAAGAACGGAGAAUUAGAUGGAGAUCUCAACCAUAGAAUACAAGCUGGAUGGAUGAAGUGGAAGAGUGCAUCCGGCGUGUUGUGUGACCGCCGUAUGCCACUGAAGCUCAAGGGAAAAUUUUAUAGGACGGCAAUAAGGCCGGCGAUGCUGUAUGGCACAUAAUGUUGGGCGGUGAAGCAUCAACACGUACACAAAAUGGGUGUAGCGGAGAUGAGGAUGCUUCGUUGGAUGUGUGGGCACACGAGAAAGGAUAAGAUUAGGAAUGAGGAUAUCUGGGGUAAAGUAGGAGUAGCCGAAAUUGAAGGAAAGAUGAGAGAAAAUCGGUUACGGUGGUUUGGACAUGUGCAAAGAAGGCCUACUGACGCUCCGAUUAGAAGAUGCGACUAUGGGACAGAGGUUCAGGGCCGAAGGGGCAGAGGAAGACCUAGGAAAACUUUGGAAGAGACCCUAAGAAAAGACUUAAGAGUACUUGGAUCUAACGGAGGACAUGACACAGGACAGAACACAAUGGCGUUCUAAGAUUCAUAUAGCCGAUCCCACUCAGUGACCUGGAUUUUCCAAGUCUCCAACCGAGAAGUUUUCCUCACUCGGGAAAUUAAGGGAACACUACCUCAACCUAUAUGCUCCACUCACAAAGCUUCAACAUACAAGCUUCAACAAAAGAAAAUUCAAAGAACUUAGCGAAGAAGGCUUUGGUGUAUUUAACACAGUACGUUGAAAUGAAGGAAAACUUAUUUAUUGAUAUCCCCGAUAAGUUACAAAUAUGUACAUAUACUUGAGUCAAAAUAAACAAACAAGAGGGAGCCUUCACAAAGGUUGCUUAGGGGAAGUCUCAGCAGUCGGUAGAGCCCCAGAAAGAGAAGGCACCAGAGGGGGAUCAUUCGGAGCCUCAGUACUGGACAAAACCCUAGAAGGAGGAGGCAUCAGAGGUUGAUCAUUUGGAGCUUCAUUACGCGGUACAGCCUCAGAAGACGAAGGCAAUAAAUGCCUUUGGAACAAACCCACAAAUCUCUGAUGAUCAAGUAAAACCUGACCAUCAGAUUCCUUCAUCUGGUCAAGCUUCCUCUUCAUGUUUGUAGCAUAGUCAUGUGCGAGCCGGUGCAACUGUUUAUUCUCAUGCUUGAGCCCUCUAAUCUCAUGUUUGAGACUCAUCACUUCAGCCGCCAAUGAUUCAACUUGGCGGGUUCGAGCAAAUAGGCGUUGGGCCAUAUUAGACACAGAACCUGCACACUGAACACUGAGAGCCAGAGAAUCCUUAACAGCUAACUCAUCAGACCGUUUGGAAAGUAGUCUGUUAUCUUUGGGAGUGAGAAGGUUCCUGGCCACUACCGCAGCGGUCAUAUCAUUCUUCAUCACGGAAUCCCCAACGGUAAGAGGACCAGUAGGGGAGACGAAGGAUGGGCGCCAUAUGUUGUCUGGAGAAGGCGGGGCUGCCUCUUCAACAAGGUUCAAGUCAAAACGACGGUCGGAGGGGCCAGACAUUUUCAAAGGUGUUGAAGAGAGAAGAGGUCGGACAAAUCAAGAUCUUAGAAGUGCAAGAAUGGAGCUUCUACUGGUGGAUAUUCAAGUGUGCUUUGGAACUUAAUGUCAGCCCCUAUAAAAAUCUGCACUCGACGAAGCUUCAGAAAUCGAAGAGGCGCCUGCUCAGAAAUCGAAGAAGCGUUUGCUUUCUCAAAAGCUGGGCUGCUCAGAGACCACGAGGGUCGAUCUCAGAAAUCGAAGAGGCGUUUGCUUUCUCAAAAGCUGGGUUGCUCAAAGACCACGAAGGCCGAUCUCAGAAAUCGAAGAGGCUUGCUUUCUCAAAAGCUGGGCUGCUCAGAGAUCACGAGGGCCGAUCUCAGAAAUCGAAGAGGCACCUACUUUUCCAGCCUUGUCAGCACCUGUCACACGCACACUCAGCUUUGCGGAAAUUAUGGGCAUUCUGUCGAAGAUUUCUGGCGAAGUAGAAAGCACAUGAAUCGUACUGUUCAAUCACCCAUUUCCCACACGCAACAGUAGCUCAUGGGUACCACAGAUAACUUUGCCAAAGUUCUCUGACAAAGUUGAGACACGUGAAGCUUGCAGCUCCCACUACAUCGCUCUGACCGAGAAGGGUAAAAGAAUAGCAAAGAAACAACACUAACAAAGUUUAGACACAUAAAUUUUGAAGGUCUAGCUACCAUAUUAUUACCCACAAGGGUAAAGGAACAGUACCACUGCUGGAUAAUUGGAAGCUCCCGGUGUGUCAACCUUUGUACUUCGUGGCACGGUAGACGAGCAAACAUGCCCAACCUUUACUCACAUUCGAGAAAACACUCCCAACAAGAUUGCUUGCUCCAAAAUCGAAGAGGCACCGCCCUCCGAAUCUCGAGAGCCAGACUCCCAACAUGAUUACUUUCUCAAAAAUCGAAGAGACACCGCUCUCCGAAUCUCGAGAGCCAGACCCCCAGCAGGAUUGCUUUCUAAAAAAUCGAAGAGGCAUUGUUCUCCGAAUCUCGAGAGCCAGAUCCCCGACAGGAUUGCUUGUUCGAAAACCGAAGAGGCACCACUUUCCCAACUUCAAGAGCUGGAUCUCCUUGGAUAAAGCUUGUCUGUAAUCUUCACACGCAACAUCAGCUUUCCAGAUACCACAGACCACUUUUUCAAAGUGCUCUGACAGAGUUAAAACAUGUGAAGCUGGCAGCUCCCACUACCGUGCUAUGACCAAGCAGGGUAAAGGAUAGCAUUAUUACUAGAUGUUAGGGAGACUCCUAUAUAUGUCGACCUCCAUCCCUAACGGACAGGCAGAUCUGCAAAAAUGCUCAACCCUUUCUCUUAUCUGAGAGGGCACUCCCAACGAAGCCUUUCGAAAUAUUCAGCUUUCUUUCCCCCCGAUAAUACCUCUGUAAACAAGCUAUACUAGAGCAAGAAUAUCUCAUAUCAUCAGGGUUAAAAGCAAGAGUAUCCCAUAUCAUGCUUUUUCCCUGUCUUUUCCUUUGGCCUUGUUCUUACCUGCAAGACAAAGGAGAAAGAGAGCAAUCAGUCAGCACUUAGAAUCAAGCUUCCAGCCAGGAACUGACUGCCUGGAACCCCUUACCUGAUUACUUACCUGGCAUUGCUCUUGAGUACUCAUCUUCAACAUCUUAUGCUUCCAGGGAAGAUACCGCAUCUGCCUGAGGAACAGAUAGGGCAAGUGAGAAGGAUACAAGGAAGCAUGUGGAGACAAGCGUAACAGCACACGUGCCGAUACAUCCACUACUCUGUCAAAAGCAAAAGUAUCCCAUAUCAGCAGGGUCGAACGUACUCUAGAUUUGAUGGACUUGUUUUGACCCUCAAAUUCUUCAGUCGGCCUUAUACUCUGGAGGAAACCAGAAAACCCUCCAGCCCAGUUCAAGAAUAAGCCUGUGGAAAGUUACUUCUUCAAAAGCAAAAGUAUCCCAUAUCAUCUCUUCUCAUUUUUCUUCUCUUUAUCCUUCAUGCUGCCUGCAAGAUAGGGAGAAUGUGAACAAUCAGCCGGAGCUCUGAUUGCUUACCUUGUCUGUCACCUCUUUCAGCAGAUCCCCUAGCUCGGCGACUUGGGGACUCCUACUACAUGGUUUGUAUCGCGCUUGACCAAGCAUGAAACUACAAGUAAGCUUCAAGUGAAAUUGAUACAUUACCUUGUGCAUCUCCACUAGUUACAGAUACCACCCCUGGAUGGAGGAGGAGUACUUCCAGAGAAGAUGCCACAUCUACCUAUGAGACAGAUAAGGCAAGUCAAGACGAUAUCACACUCCGGUACUUAGAAGUUUCGUGGCUACGAGAUCAUUCUCCCACAAUAUUCCCUAAUGUCAUUUGUACUAAAUCAUUCACUUGUACUCACUAAAGGAGAGCUUGAACCUAUGUACUUGUGUAAACCCUUCACAAUUAAUGAGAACUCCUCUAUUCCGUGGACGUAGCCAAUCUGGGUGAACCACGUACAUCUUGUGUUUGCUUUCCUAUCUCUAUCCAUUUAUAUACUUAUCCACACUAAUGACCAGAGCAAUCUAGCGAAGAUCACAAAAAGUGACCGUUUUCGAUACUUAGGAUCUAUCUUGCAAGAGAACGGAGAAUUAGAUGGAGAUCUCAACCAUAGAAUACAAGCCGGAUGGAUGAAGUGUAAGAGUGCAUCCGGCGUGUUGUGUGACCGUCGUAGGCCACUGAAGCUCAAGGGAAAAUUUUAUAGGACGGCAAUAAGGCCAGCGAUGUUGUAUGGCACAGAAUGUUGGGCGGUGAAGCAUCAACACGUACACAAAAUGGAUGUAGCGGAGAUGAGGAUGCUUCGUGGGAUGUAUGGGCACACGAGAAAUGAUAAGAUCGGGAAUGAGGAUAUCCGAGAUAAAGUAGGAGUAGCCAAAAUUGAAGGAAAUAUGAGAGAAAAUCGGUUCCGGUGGUUUGGACAUGUGCAAAGAAGGCCUACUGACGCUCCGGUUCGAAAAUGUGACUACGGGACAGAGGUUCAGGGCCGAAGGGGUAGAGGAAGACCUAGGAAAACUUUGGAAGAGACCCUAAGAAAAGACUUGAGUACUUGGAUCUAACGGAGGACAUUACACAAAACCGAGCGCAAUGGCGUUCUAGGAUUCAUAUAGCCGACCCCACUUAGUGGGAAAAGGCUUUGUUGUUGUUGUUGUUGUUGUUGUUGUUUCUCUUGUUUCUUGUGUAUAAUGCGAUUUGAUUUCCAUUUGAUUAGUUGUUGGUUAUGGUAUAAUUUUACGAGACUGGAGUUCAAUUGUGCAGG